rnacentral:tRNA from 1 species
AGCUUUAUAGUCCAAAUAGUGAUAUUAAAUUGCAAAUUUAAAGAUGGUUGUGUACCUAAGGCUU